UACAGAGGUGGCAAGCGUUGUUCGGAAUUACUGGGCGUAAAGGGCGCGUAGGCGGUUCGAUAAGUCCCGUGUGAAAUCCCUCGGCUCAACUGAGGAACUGCACGGGAAACUGACGGGCUUGAGUUCGGGAGAGGGAAGCGGAAUUCCGGGUGUAGCGGUGAAAUGCGUAGAUAUCCGGAGGAACACCGGUGGCGAAGGCGGGUUCCUGGGCCGAAACUGACGCUGAGGCGCGAAAGCGUGGGGAGCAAACAGG
rnacentral:rRNA from 1 species